rnacentral:rRNA from 1 species
UUGCUCCCUGAUGUUAGCGGCGGACGGGUGAGUAACACGUGGGUAACCUGCCUGUAAGACUGGGAUAACUCCGGGAAACCGGGGCUAAUACCGGAUGGUUGUUUGAACCGCAUGGUUCAGACAUAAAAGGUGGCUUCGGCUACCACUUACAGAUGGACCCGCGGCGCAUUAGCUAGUUGGUGAGGUAACGGCUCACCAAGGCGACGAUGCGUAGCCGACCUGAGAGGGUGAUCGGCCACACUGGGACUGAGACACGGCCCAGACUCCUACGGGAGGCAGCAGUAGGGAAUCUUCCGCAAUGGACGAAAGUCUGACGGAGCAACGCCGCGUGAGUGAUGAAGGUUUUCGGAUCGUAAAGCUCUGUUGUUAGGGAAGAACAAGUGCCGUUCAAAUAGGGCGGCACCUUGACGGUACCUAACCAGAAAGCCACGGCUAACUACGUGCCAGCAGCCGCGGUAAUACGUAGGUGGCAAGCGUUGUCCGGAAUUAUUGGGCGUAAAGGGCUCGCAGGCGGUUUCUUAAGUCUGAUGUGAAAGCCCCCGGCUCAACCGGGGAGGGUCAUUGGAAACUGGGGAACUUGAGUGCAGAAGAGGAGAGUGGAAUUCCACGUGUAGCGGUGAAAUGCGUAGAGAUGUGGAGGAACACCAGUGGCGAAGGCGACUCUCUGGUCUGUAACUGACGCUGAGGAGCGAAAGCGUGGGGGAGCGAANAGGAUUAGAUACCCUGGUAGUCCACGCCGUAAAACGAUGAGUGCUAAGUGUUAGGGGGUUUCCGCCCCUUA